rnacentral:rRNA from 1 species
GACGAACGCUGGCGGCGUGCCUAAUACAUGCAAGUAGAACGCUGAAGGAGGAGCUUGCUUCUCUGGAUGAGUUGCGAACGGGUGAGUAACGCGUAGGUAACCUGCCUGGUAGCGGGGGAUAACUAUUGGAAACGAUAGCUAAUACCGCAUAAUAUUGACUAUUGCAUGAUAGUCAGUUGAAAGGUGCAACUGCACCACUACCAGAUGGACCUGCGUUGUAUUAGCUAGUUGGUGGGGUAACGGCUCACCAAGGCGACGAUACAUAGCCGACCUGAGAGGGGGGUCGGCCACACUGGGACUGGGACACGGCCCAGACUCCUACGGGAGGCAGCAGUAGGGAAUCUUCGGCAAUGGACGGAAGUCUGACCGAGCAACGCCGCGUGAGUGAAGAAGGUUUUCGGAUCGUAAAGAUCUGUUGUAAGAGAAGAACGAGUGUGAGAGUGGAAAGCUCACACUGUGACGGUAUCUUACCAGAAAGGGACGGCUAACUACGUG